CUAGAAUUACUGCUUACAAACCAUAAAGGCCCCAGCUUGAGUUUCAUGGCGGGUGGGGGGGGGUGAUGUGUGUUGCACACACCGCAAAUACAGCCACAGGGCGGGUAACCCGCCAACUCCCUAACCUCAGCCAAAAAAUCUGGCCACUGCCUGACAGGCGGAGUGUGUGAAUUUGCUGUCUAUCAGUGGCAGCAAAACAACUUAAAGUCAAAAAAGAAUCGUGUGAAACCACUGAGUUCACUUGUGGGAGUAUUUGUGUGCCAAAUCGACAGGCUUGGUAUCUGUUAAAACUGCCCUUCAUUGCUGUGAUAUUUUUGGCAAGGAAACAGCCCAUAAAUAUAAACAGAUCGCUCCUCUCCCUACUGAAAAGCAGGCACCUCAGAGGGAGGAAGCACAGUGCAUGUUUAUCAGAGCCAUAAAUCCUGCACGAGGUUUUAGAACCAGCACGCAGGGGCAAAUAUCUUGAUGGAGAGAAGACAGUUGACGAAGGACAAGCUAACUACAAGAGAAAAACAUGUGCAGUGUAUCCCACAGACCACAGAAUACACCUCUGUUUGCUUAAAAGUCUGUUGGCCAACAGGUGUUGGAUCAUCUACAGAGAGAACCUACCCAUUUGCUCUGUUGUGUUACAAGUCAUUGUCAGCUCACUCCAGCCAACUUCUGAGACAGCUACCAGCCAUGCAGCUGCAGGGAGGACAGUGCCCUAACUAAUUAAAACCUUCUGAGACACAGGUAGCACUUGUGGGAGAAGACCUGAUACUACCCCAUAGGCCAGCCUGGCCCUCUGAUUAAACCCAGUAUAAGGAGAAAAUAAAAUGUCGUGAGACUGUGUUGGCUUCA
rnacentral:lncRNA from 1 species